GCCUGGGUGGCUCAGUCGGUUAAGCGUCUGCCUCUGGCUCAGGUCAUCCCACGGUCCUGGGAUCGAGCCCCACCUCAGGCU
rnacentral:tRNA from 1 species